rnacentral:rRNA from 1 species
UGAGGGACGAAAGCUGGGGGCACGAACCGGAUUAGAUACCCGGGUAGUCCCAGCCGUAAACGAUGCUCGCUAGGUGUCAGGCAUGGCGCGACCGUGUCUGGUGCCGCAGGGAAGCCGUGAAGCGAGCCACCUGGGAAGUACGGCCGCAAGGCUGAAACUUAAAGGAAUUGGCGGGGGAGCACAACAACGGGUGGAGCCUGCGGUUUAAUUGGAUUCAACGCCGGA